GCCUUUGAGCUUAUACUGAAUUAUACCACCAGCUUUCCUAGGUCUUGAAGCUUACAGACAGCAGAUCUUGGGACUUCUCAGGCACCAUAAUCAAUCAUAGAUAAAUGAUCCAAUGAUUCGGAACUUGAAAAGUGGUAGCUUUAUGAAUUCUCCUUAAGAAGAAACCUGUGCCCCGAUCUUGCCUACUCACCCAAAGGCACUGUGAGAUAGCAUCAAAGGAACAGCUAGUAAGAGACACAGAGCCAGAAAUCAGGGAAGUAAAAUACACUUGACAUCUACAUUCGGAAAGAAAUUUUAGGAGGCAGAAGCAAAUGGAUCAGAAGCUGCUUAUAUUUUUGCAAGAUUACCAAAGAAACCAUUGGUGGAGAAAGUUCUGUGACCAACUUGUCUGAGUCUAGUAAGACUGAACGCUCACACACAAGUUUCAUGAAGUGGGUUUGAUACUUACAGAUAAGCAGCAAGGACCAACAGAAGCUGAUGAUCUAUGGUGAACUUUUUCCCAAGGCUCCGGAAAGCUGCCUAAAGUAGAUGGAGUCUUCUCUGUGUGUGCCCCACUGGUCCUGCAGUUGAAGGAUCCGGUAAAGCAGCCUGCCCUGGGUUUUACACUCCAGAGGAACGUGAUUCGCUGGACUAAAGCAUUGAAGUGCAUCCUGUUUCCGGGGGGCACUGGAACAGAGCCUGGUCUGUUCUAGCCAGUCCCUUUCUAUCUCAGGAUGUUGCAUUCCCAGUACAUUCUACAGUUAUUCUUGAGAACUAUAAUCAAAUAAGCAGGGAGAACUGGGUAAGU